rnacentral:rRNA from 1 species
AUUGAACGCUGGCGGCAGGCCUAACACAUGCAAGUCGAGCGGAUGAAGGGAGCUUGCUCCUGGAUUCAGCGGCGGACGGGUGAGUAAUGCCUAGGAAUCUGCCUGGUAGUGGGGGAUAAUGUCCGGAAACGGGCGCUAAUACCGCAUACGGCCUGAGGGAGAAAGUGGGGGAUCUUCGGACCUCACGCUAUCAGAUGAGCCUAGGUCGGAUUAGCUAGUUGGUGGGGUAAAGGCCUACCAAGGCGACGAUCCGUAACUGGUCUGAGAGGAUGAUCAGUCACACUGGAACUGAGACACGGUCCAGACUCCUACGGGAGGCAGCAGUGGGGAAUAUUGGACAAUGGGCGAAAGCCUGAUCCAGCCAUGUCGCGUGUGUGAAGAAGGUCUUCGGAUUGUAAAGCACUUUAAGUUGGGAGGAAGGGCAGUAAGUUAAUACCUUGCUGUUUUGACGUUACCAACAGAAUAAGCACCGGCUAACUUCGUG